rnacentral:rRNA from 1 species
UACGUAGGGGGCUAGCGUUGUCCGGAAUUAUUGGGCGUAAAGAGCUCGUAGGCGGUUUGUCGCGUCGGCUGUGAAAACUCGGGGCUCAACCCCGAGCCUGCAGUCGAUACGGGCAGACUAGAGUGCUGUAGGGGAGACUGGAAUUCCUGGUGUAGCGGUGAAAUGCGCAGAUAUCAGGAGGAACACCGGUGGCGAAGGCGGGUCUCUGGGCAGUAACUGACGCUGAGGAGCGAAAGCGUGGGGAGCAAACAGG